rnacentral:tRNA from 1 species
UAGCUCAGUUGGUAGAGUGCUUGCCUGGCAUGCACAAGGCCCUGGGUUCAAUUCCCAG